rnacentral:tRNA from 1 species
GCCCCCAUCGUCUAGAGGCCCAGGACGGCGGCCCUUCAAGCCGCAAGCAGGGGUUCGAAUCCCCUUGGGGGCA